GAUUUAUACAGAAGCGGCGAGAGAUUAGGCUCUAGGACCCGCUGGCAACCAUCGAUCAUCGAAAGGUGCCAAUUCCUGCCCACUCAAAAAUUGAAAGUGGGAAAUAUAAGUU
rnacentral:ncRNA from 2 species